rnacentral:rRNA from 1 species
GGUCAAGCGAGAAAGGGUCCAUGGUGGAUGCCUUUGGCGCUGUCCGGCGAAGAAGGCCGCGGUAAGCUGCGAGAAGCCUGGGGGAGUGGCAAACACAUUAUGAUCCCGGGAUGGCCGAAUGGGGUAACCCGGCGGGUUAGAAUACCCGUCACUUACACAUGAAUAAAUAGUGUGUAGAGAGCGAGACGCAGGGAACUGAACCAUCUAAGUACCUGCAGGAAAAGAAAUCAAUUGAGAUUCCCUGAGUAGCGGCGAGCGAAGGGGGAAGAGCCCAAACCACGGCAUUUCGGUGCUGGUGGGGUUGUAGGGCCUUUCGGCAUGGAGUAAGAAAACUAACUGAUAACAGAAGGCUACUGGAAAGGGCCACCAGAGAGGGUGAAAGUCCCGUAAGUGAAAUUGGUUAGACUCCCGAGAGGUACCUGAGUACGACGAGACACGAGAAAUCUUGUUGGAAUCCGGGUCGACCACGAUCCAAGGCUAAAUACGAGACAGCGACCGAUAGUGAACGAGUACCGUGAGGGAAGUGGUGAAAAGCACCCCGGGAGGGGAGUGAAAUAGAACCUGAAACCGUGGACCUACAAGCGGUCAAAGCCUCUAUAUGGGGUGAUGGCGUGCCUUUUGUAGCAUGGGCCUGCGAGUUACCAUACGUAGCGAGGUUAAGGCAUUGAAGUGCCGGAGCCGGAGUGAAAGCGAGCCUGAAUAGGGCGACAAGUUGCGUGUGGUAGACCCGAAGCCGAGUGAUCUACCUAUGGCCAGGAUGAAACUUCGGUAAAACGAAGUGGAGGUCCGAACUCUAGCGUGUUAAAAAAUGCAGGGAUGAGCUGUGGGUAGGGGUGAAAGGCUAAUCAAACUCGGAGAUAGCUGGUACUCCUCGAAAUGGAUUGAGGUUCAGCGUCGGAUGGUUUUUGUCGGAGGUAAAGCACUGAUUAGGCUAGGGCCCUUCACCGGGUACCAAACUUAGUUAAACUCUGAAUGCCGAUAAACAAAGUCCGGCAGUGAGACUGCGGGUGAUAAGAUUCGUAGUCGAGAGGGAAAGAGCCCAGACCGUUAGCUAAGGUCCCUAAAUGAUGCUGAGUGGAAAAGGAAGUGCAGCGGCACAGACAGCCAGGAGGUUGGCUUAGAAGCAGCCACUCCUUUAAAGAGUGCGUAAUAGCUCACUGGUCGAGUCGUUGUGCGCCGACAAUGUAACGGGGCUAAGCAUCAUACCGAAGCUACGGAUCAGUCGUUUACGACUGGUGGUAGAGGAGCGUUGUGUCAUGGGUUGAAGCCGGACUGGGAAGUCAGGUGGACUAGGCACAAGUGAGAAUGCAGGCAUGAGUAACGAAAAGACAGGUGAGAUCCCUGUCCGCCGAAAGCUUAAGGGUUCCUGGGUGAAGGUAAUCUUCCCAGGGUUAGUCGGUUCCUAAGGUGAGGCCGAAAGGCGUAGUCGAUGGGAAACUGGUUAAUAUUCCAGUACCUCCAUAUAUUUCGAAGGAAUGACGCAUAGGGAGAACCACUGCUACUUAUUGGAUUGUGGUCUAAGCACUAAGCCGUUGAGCUGGAUAGGAAAAUCCGUCUGGUGAGGUAAGGUGUGAAAGAUAGGCGAGCUACGGUGAGCCGAAGAGUGGGGAUUCGUCGUGCCAAGAAAUAAUUUCUAAGAUUAGAUGUAUGGGGACCGUACCGUAAACCGACACAGGUGAGCGAGAUGAGAAUUCUAAGGCGCGCGGGAGAACUCGGGUUAAGGAACUAGGCAAAUUACGUACGUAACUUCGGGAAAAGUACGACCCUUGCGAGAGGGUAUCAUUAAAGAGGUCCAAGCGACUGUUUACCAAAAACACAGGUCUCUGCUAAUUCGUAAGAAGAGGUAUAGGGGCUGACACCUGCCCGGUGCCGGAAGGUUAAGGGGACUGGUUAGUCGCAAGACGAAGCUAGGAACUGAAGCCCCGGUGAACGGCGGCCGUAACUAUAACGGUCCUAAGGUAGCGAAAUUCCUUGUCGGGUAAGUUCCGACCCGCACGAAUGGUGUAACGAUUUGGACACUGUCUCAACCCGAGGCCCGGUGAAAUUGACAUGGGGGUGAAGAUGCCCUCUACCUGUGGUUAGACGGAAAGACCCCGUGAACCUUUACUGUACCCUGGUAUUGAAACUUGGCAUAGCAUGUGUAGGAUAGGUGGGAGACUUUGAAGACUGUACGCUAGUAUGGUUGGAGUCGCCGUUGAAAUACCACCCUUGCUGUGUUAGGUUUCUAACCCUGUCCGUAAACCGGAUAGGGGACAAUGCCAGGCGGGCAGUUUGACUGGGGCGGUCGCCUCCUAAAGAGUAACGGAGGCGCGCGAAGGUAACCUUGCGCUGGUUGGAAAUCAGCGUGUAAGUGUAAAGGCAUAAGGUUGCUUAACUGUAAGACAGACAAGUCGAGCAGAUACGAAAGUAGGUCUUAGUGAUCUGGCGGUAGCGAGUGGAAGCGCCGUCACUUAACGGAUAAAAGGUACUCCGGGGAUAACAGGCUUAUUUUCCCCAAGAGUUCACAUCGACGGGAAAGUUUGGCACCUCGAUGUCGGCUCAUCGCAUCCUGGGGCUGGAGCAGGUCCCAAGGGUUUGGCUGUUCGCCAAUUAAAGCGGUACGUGAGCUGGGUUCAGAACGUCGCGAGACAGUUCGGUCCCUAUCUGCCACAGGCGUUGGAUGUUUGAGAAGAGCUGACCUUAGUACGAGAGGACCGGGUCGGACGAACCUCUGGUGUAUCAGUUAUACCGCCAGGUGUAAGUGCUGAGUAGCUACGUUCGGAAGGGAUAACCGCUGAAAGCAUCUAAGUGGGAAGCCCCCUUCGAGAUGAGACAUCCCUGACACUUUAAGUGUCCUAAAGGCCCCUGGAAGACUACCAGGUUGAUAGGUUGGAGGUGUAAGCACAGUAAUGUGUUCAGCCGACCAAUACUAAUGUGCCGUGAGGCUUGACCAU